rnacentral:rRNA from 1 species
GACAGAGGGUGCAAACGUUGUUCGGAAUUACUGGGCGUAAAGCGCGUGUAGGCGGCCAUCUAAGUCGGGCGUGAAAUCCCACGGCUCAACCGUGGAAGUGCACUCGAAACUGGAUGGCUAGAGUCCUGGAGAGGAAGGUGGAAUGCUUGGUGUAGAGGUGAAAUUCGUAGAUAUCAAGCGGAACACCGGUGGCGAAGGCGGCCUUCUGGACAGUGACUGACGCUGAGACGCGAAAGCGUGGAGAGCAAACAGG